UUCGUUUAUUUACAUCUGAAUGUGAAAUUCUAAUGCCAAGAUUCGUCGAACGAAAUAAAAAUAUUUAUUAUUAUUAUAUUUCCUCUAGUUAAAUCGAAGGUAUUUCUAUUCGCUACUAAUAAUUUAAUUUCCCCUUUCGUAUUCUAGAGUAAUGUAUUUAUCGCGGAAAGCAGCACACUCAGGAGGGCUGCUAAAACUGGUUAGAAAAUCAAUCUGUUCGAAAGCCGUUACCGUGGAACAUGAUCAUCAAAAAUCCGAGUUCAUUGUUGAAUUACAUAACGACAAAGCUUUUCUCAGCUACAGUUGCGAUAAACCUAACAGGAUGAUUAUUCUCAAUCACACGGAAGUACCAGCCGUGUUUCGGGGCAAAGGAGUCGGUAAACAACUUGCGGAGACCGCCUUACAAUAUGCACAAGAGAAAAAUUUGAAAGUGAAAAUAAUCUGCGAAUUUGCCAACAAAUACUACAGUGAGAACAAAGAACGUCUGAAAAAUGAUGUAGUUUCUUAAAUCUUAGUUUUUCAUUCAACAGCGGAGCAGCUUCAUGAUCGUGUCUCGUACGCGUUUCAAUAUUUCCUUGUCCAUCGUUUGGAACGUGUAAGAAUAGCGGAAAAAGAUCUGCUCGUACAUGGUGAACUCGUUUUCGGUGGAAAUUUUCCUCAGCAGUAUGGAAAUGUCCUGCAGCGAGAGGUACUUUUUCACCUCAAUCCACUGGUUGUACAGGUAAUCCAGCGUAUACUUGAGA